UACAGAGGGUGCGAGCGUUAAUCGGAAUUACUGGGCGUAAAGCGUGCGCAGACGGUUGCGUAAGUCGGAUGUGAAAUCCCCGGGCUCAACCUGGGAAUUGCAUUCGAGACUGCGUAGCUGGGGUGCGGAAGAGGGAAGCGGAAUUUCCGGUGUAGCGGUGAAAUGCGUAGAUAUCGGAAGGAACAUCAGUGGCGAAAGCGGCUUCCUGGUCCAGCACCGACGUUCAGGCACGAAAGCGUGGGGAGCAAACAGG
rnacentral:rRNA from 1 species